CGAGGACGAACGCUGGCGGCGUGCUUAACACAUGCAAGUCGAGCGGGGGCAUUGCUUUCGGGUGAUGUUCUAGUGGCAGACGGGUGAGUAACACGUAGGUAACCUACCUUCAAGCUGGGGAUAACGUUUGGAAACGAACGCUAAUACCGAAUAAGAUAUAGCAAUAUAUUGAAAGAAGCCUUUAAAGCUUCACUUAGAGAUGGGCCUCGGGGGGGGCUAUUAACUAGUUGGUGAGGUAAUGGCUCACCAAGGUAACGAUGCGUAGCCGAACUGAGAGGUUGAACGGCCACAUUGGGACUGAGACACGGCCCAGACUCCUACGGGAGGCAGCAGUGAGGAGUAUUGGGGCAAUGGGCGCAAGCCUGACCCAGCAAUGCCGCGUGAAGGAAGACGGUUUUCGGAUUGUAAACUUCUUUUAAGAGGGACGAUAAUGACGGUACCUCUUGAAUAAGCCACGGCUAACUACGUG
rnacentral:rRNA from 1 species